rnacentral:misc_RNA from 1 species
GUGUUAUUUUUAAUAGUUGUUACGUUCAUACGACACACAAAAGUUUGGAGUUGAAGGCCCGAGGGCCGACAUGUUCACAAGAGGUUAUGAAGGGUUUUUUGUAAUGGGGCAGAAGCCCACAAUCCAAUAAUGAUCCUUCCGCAGGUUCACCUACGGAAA